CGGAAUUUUAUUAACGUGCAAUUUAUUAUUACAGUUAUAAUAGUUUGUGUCAACAACAAUAAUAAUAAUAAUAAUACUAUAAAUUUAGUGCGUAAUUCGCGAGCAACUAAAAUAUAAUUUGUCCCUUUCAAAGAAGAUUUCAUACCUACGAGAUUAUUAUGUUUAAUGAAAUGAGAAUAAACAAUAAUAGUAAUAAUAAAUUUAUGUUGUGUCAUAUAAUAUAAUAUAUAUUUUAACGUAUAAAAUUGCAUGAUGUAUUCUUUUAAGAUGAAUAUAUUUAUACACACAAAAUGUAUUAUUUUAAAAAGACCGACGUUAAAUAUUUGAAUAUUAUUUUAACAAUGUAUCUUUCGAUUUUUUAUUUCGUGGAACUCGUCACGUGACACCAUGCAAAGCUCUAUUAUAUUUUGAAUAAAGAACACGACAAUUAUUAGGAAAAAUAAAGAGCAGUAAUAAUAGCGGAUAUAAAAUCUUCUAAUAGUAAUUAUAAUAAUAAUAGUUAAUAAUAUUAAAAUGUAUACAAAUAAUAUAAUAAUAAUAGGUGCCUACCUAGUAAAUAGUAUACUAGGCGAAUGGAUUAUUAGCUAAGUAAAAAUUGCCGACCUACACGUACACACAUAAUAAUUAUACAGUAAUCUCGACAUUAAUAUUAUAUUAAACUAAGCUGACUACGAUUUUAUUAUAAAUACACUAAAUACACUAUAAAUAUUGUAAUUAAUAGCAUAUUAUAAUAAUAAAUAUGCGUUUUGAUAUUAUAAAUAAAUAGGUAAAUAUAAGUAAUAUAUGUAUACAUAUAAUUCCGAUCUAUAAUAUCUUAUAAUAGGUUAUUAUAUUCUGAUCUUAUUUUUGUUGUAAAAACGAUGUAGAAACACGCACUGACAAUCGAAUAUAAUAUUCAAAUUACAAUUCACAAUAAAAAAAAAAAAAACAAAUACAAAUAUAAACGUAAAUAUAAUAUUAAAAAACUUAAAAUUUGUGAUGGAAGACGCACGUCGAUAUGCAUACGUUUACAAUAAUAAAUUUAUAUUAUUAUAAUAAUUGUUAUCAAUACAAUAUUAAAUAUGUAUUAUUAUGUAUUCAGUGAUUGCACAUCGAAUACAUUUAAAAAAUUAUAUAUUUACUAAAUAAUCGAAAACAGAUAGCGAUAAUAAUAAUUACAAUAGUUUUUUUUUUUUUUUAUAUGCCAGUGCACAGUAAAAUAUAAUUAUUCUAAUAUAGGUACGAUAACCAUUAAACGUAAAACCAUAUACUUAUUAUUUAUUUUAAAAAAGCAAAAUUCACGUAGAAAUGUAAUCUAUGUAAACAAGAGUCUAUACAGCACUUUUGUAAAACUGUUCGAAUAUUUAUAUAUUAUUAGUUAUUACGAGAUUGAUUAUAUAUUAAAAUAAAAUACAUUUAUCGCUCCGCUCAGAAUCUAAAAUCUACUCAACUUGUACCUUAUUAUAAUUUACAUCUAUCAACAAGCGACGGAAAAUUAAAAAACCAAAGAAAUAUUAUAGGAAAUUUUAAAUAACUCGUGUUGUUAUUUGAGUUAUGGUACACGUCAUAUUAAAAUAUUAUUAUAAAUGUAAACAUUUUUUAAUAAUAUAAUGUCACUUACGAAACUUAAAUCCGAUUUUAUACCAUCAAAUUAAUUUCACCACAUAAUAAAUAAAAAAACAUAUAUUUAUAUAUAUAUAUAUAUAUAUAUAUAUAUAUAAAUCAAAAUUUGAAUAGCUGUAAACGUAAAAUUAUUUACCUACCGAGGUAUUAUUAUAAAAACAAAUCUUUGGCUAACCUAUGUUAUUUUUCUAAACGCAAACCAAAUAAAUUAUCCUUCUCGUUUUGAAUAAUAAAAAACAAGAAUACUGGUUUUAAGAGUGGUCCAUCACACCAUAUCUAUUCCUCUGUUCUUUUUCAGAUUCUUUUUUUAACUUUUUUUUUUAACUUCUUUAGAAAUUCCCCCAAAUUCCGUCCACCAAAGGACGUCUCGCUAACCUUGAAUCCAUAUGUAUGGUUCAUCUACAAUUGUUUAACUCACGCGAUUAUGAAUUUUCCUUCUGUGAUUUUGGUAUACCUACUGUAAUCUAUUUUUUUUUUAUUAAGUAUAUUUGUAAUUUACAUGCAAAUUUGUUUCUAUGAGUGCACUUGAAUAAAUGAAAUAAUAAUCUCUCGUUUAUAGAUGAUAUACCUACCCAUGUAAACUAUGUUACAUACAUUCCGUAAUUUUUUUUGUAUGUUAUAUUUAUAAAAAAUGUAAAUACAAUACCGAUAUGGUUUUGUUUUACUGCCGAAAUGUCAUAUCGAUGUGCUGAUAUGUACAGUUAUUCCCUUACCCAGUACACUCUUUUAACUUGUUUUAGUAACGAAAUCCCAUGAUAGAAACUAUUAAAACACCAUUUUUAAUUUUUUUAAAAGCUAAUCAUCAAAUGAUAUGUUUACUGGAUUCAGAUGAUACUAUAAGUUGAAUAUUGACAUCUAAUAUUGACGUUAAACAAUGAUAAACGAUCCACAUUUAUAAAUAUAAUUCAUAAAUACUUAAGUAUUAAUAUUAGAUUAUAUUACCGGUGACGUAGCCAGAUUUUUUUAGUGGAGGUGAGGGAAGAUCAAAAAAUUAAAUUAACUUAAAGUUUAAUGCCUGUAAACGUUCAUUUCUUCAAUUAGGUACGUUCAAAAAUAUACUAUCUACUUGCUCAACCAAUGGAAAUAAACCACGUAUACCACGAAGAAACAUAAAAGAUUAUUAUUAUUAUUACGAUAACAAUAUUGCUUAUUUAUAAUUAUAAUAAACAUAAUUUAUUUAAAAAUUAUGUUUAAUAAAUUGAAGGGGUAUCCCAUAGCUAUGUCAAUGCUGUAUAUUUAAUACCUAAAUAAUUAUUACUGUAUGAUACACAUUAUAAUAUUACUUAUCAUUAAUAUCUACAUGUAUUAUAUUCUAUAAGAACAAAAUUGAUUCGAAUAGAGUCUAGAAUAAUAAAUUAUAUUCUAUCGACACUAUUUAUGAAAGAAAAUUAUUAUAUAGAACGCAUAGCUCUCCUAUACAACUAUAAUAAUAAUAAUAAUUAUAAUAAUAAUAAUAAUUAUAAUAAUA